rnacentral:rRNA from 1 species
AGUGAACGCUGGCGGCAGGCCUAACACGUGCAAGUCGAACGGCAGCACAGGGGUAGCAAUACCCUGGGUGGCGAGUGGCGGACGGGUGAGGAAUACGUCGGAAUCUGCCUAUUUGUGGGGGGAUAACGUAGGGAAACUUACGCUAAUACCGCAUACGCCCUACGGGGAAGGACGGAGGACCUUCGGCGUUCGCGCAGAUAGAUGAGCCGACGUCGGAGUUA